AAUGGUUGUUUAACUAUGGCAAUAGAAAGUGUUUUAAUUUUAACUGCAUAAAAAAUUUUUAUUAGUUUAAUAGCAUAGAAUUGGCUAUUGGUGAUUAGCAGUUUAUUUUUUAUUAGAAUGAAUGUUUUUUAAGAAAAUUAAUAGUUUAAGGGGAUAGGACACAGUGCCAGCAUCCGCGGUUAAUCUGUUUUCUUUGCUUUUGUUUAGGUAUUAAAUGAUUAUUUAUACGUUAGGUUAGGUGAAAAUUUUUAGCGAAUUAUAUUUUAUACUCAUUUAUUGGUAAGCUAAUAUUAACGACAGGGAUUAGAUACCCCAUUAGUUAUUAGUUUAAUAAAUCUUAGUUUUAUAACUAAAAUAGUUUGGCAGCAGGCUACUCCGUUUAGGGGAAGGUGUAAAGUAAAGGAUGGUCCGCCUAUUAUUUUACUUAUGUUAUGUUGGUGUAUAUCUGGUUGUAUAUUAUUACUUUAAUAGUUUGAAUUUGUGUAUAAUUAUUAUUUAAGCCAAGUCUAUGUGCUGCAUACUUAAGUUUUUAUGCGUUACAUUAAUAAAAAAGUACCUGAAAUGGUUUAUAUUUAGGACUUAAUAGUAAUAUAAAAUUAAUUUGUUUAUGUGAAUUUGGUUUAGCCUGGGUACACACCGCCCGUCAUCCUCGAUAGACAUUGAGGCAAGUCGUAACAAGGUAACUUUAAAUGAAUUUGAAGUUAAUUACUUAAUAAGUUAAA
rnacentral:ncRNA from 1 species